AGCUUGCUCUGUGGAUCAGUGGCGAACGGGUGAGUAACACGUGAGCAACCUGCCCCUGACUCUGGGAUAAGCGCUGGAAACGGCGUCUAAUACCGGAUAUGAGCUGCGAAGGCAUCUUCAGCAGUUGGAAAGAUUUUUCGGUCUGGGAUGGGCUCACGGCCUAUCAGCUUGUUGGUGAGGUAAUGGCUCACCAAGGCGUCGACGGGUAGCCGGCCUGAGAGGGUGACCGGCCACACUGGGACUGAGACACGGCCCAGACUCCUACGGGAGGCAGCAGUGGGGAAUAUUGCACAAUGGGCGGAAGCCUGAUGCAGCAACGCCGCGUGAGGGAUGACGGCCUUCGGGUUGUAAACCUCUUUUAGCAGGGAAGAAGCGAAAGUGACGGUACCUGCAGAAAAAGCGCCGGCUAACUACGUGCCAGCAGCCGCGGUAAUACGUAGGGCGCAAGCGUUAUCCGGAAUUAUUGGGCGUAAAGAGCUCGUAGGCGGUUUGUCGCGUCUGCUGUGAAAUCCCGAGGCUCAACCUCGGGCCUGCAGUGGGUACGGGCAGACUAGAGUGCGGUAGGGGAGAUUGGAAUUCCUGGUGUAGCGGUGGAAUGCGCAGAUAUCAGGAGGAACACCGAUGGCGAAGGCAGAUCUCUGGGCCGUAACUGACGCUGAGGAGCGAAAGGGUGGGGAGCAAACAGGCUUAGAUACCCUGGUAGUCCACCCCGUAAACGUUGGGAACUAGUUGUGGGGUCC
rnacentral:rRNA from 1 species